UACGAAGGGGGCUAGCGUUUGUUCGGAUUUACUGGGCGUAAAGCGCACGUAGGCGGAUUGUUAAGUCGGGGGUGAAAUCCUGGAGCUCAACCCCGGAACUGCCUUUGAGACUGGAUUGCUAGAAUCACGGAGAGGUGGGUGGAAUUCCGAGUGUAGAGGUGAAAUUCGUAGAUAUUGGGAAGAACACCGGUGGCGAAGGCGGCUCACUGGCUCGUAUCUGACGCUCAGGCGCGACAGCGUGGGGAUCAAACAGG
rnacentral:rRNA from 1 species